CAUCAGAUAGCUUAUCAGACUGGUGUUGGCUGUUAGGUUCCCAUGGCAACAGCAGUCUGUAAGCUGUCUGAAG
rnacentral:pre_miRNA from 13 species